CACGCUUUCUCCUUCGUCUUUAAACCUUCUUCUCUUUUGCCCUACGCUUCACUAACAUACUCUCUGAAGAAGUGAAGCGGUGUGAUCCUUGCACUUAUCCCGUUAAGCUUCUCCAUUGAUAAUAAAAUGGCUACCCAUUUUCCAGAUUAAAUAUUUGGAAGUCUUAUGCAUUAACUACUAUAAUAUAUAGGUCUAAAAUAAAUAUCUUUUACAAGGUAUGUUCUCCUCAAGAUUUGGUACGGUUAAUGUUGCUUAUUGAUGCCAUCUUCUAUUGUCAAACUUACAGCUUCUAUCUCAAUGUGAAAUUAUCUUUUAGCCCUUUGGCCUAAGGGUAUCAGCGCUUAAUUGAAAUGUUUGAUCUUGUCAAUCAAGUGGUUGCGGGUUCAAGGUCUUGUGAGACAUUUAUGGAUGAGUGAAUAUUUACAAUAAAUUUUCGUUUCUUAUAAAAUAAUGCAAUGGAAUGUUAUAUAUUUUUUGUUAACUUACUUUUAUAGUGAGUAAACCUCUAGAAUUAUUUA